UACGUAGGGCGCAAGCGUUGUCCGGAAUUAUUGGGCGUAAAGAGCUCGUAGGCGGCUUGUCACGUCGGGUGUGAAAGCCCGGGGCUUAACCCCGGGUCUGCAUUCGAUACGGGCUAGCUAGAGUGUGGUAGGGGAGAUCGGAAUUCCUGGUGUAGCGGUGAAAUGCGCAGAUAUCAGGAGGAACACCGGUGGCGAAGGCGGAUCUCUAGGCCAUUACUGACGCUGAGGAGCGAAAGCGUGGGGAGCGAACAGG
rnacentral:rRNA from 1 species